rfam:Methanococcoides burtonii DSM 6242, complete genome.
UAGACUGAUGCUAAAGUUCCUGAUGGCCAAGCAGGUCAUGAAAAAACCUUGACCAACCUCCUUCCUGCACUGGCUGGUGCAAAUACGCUGUACGGUGCAG